GUGGGGAAUAUUGGACAAUGGGCGAAAGCCUGAUCCAGCCAUGCCGCGUGUGUGAAGAAGGUCUUCGGAUUGUAAAGCACUUUAAGUUGGGAGGAAGGGCAGUAAGUUAAUACCUUGCUGUUUUGACGUUACCGACAGAAUAAGCAUCGGCUAACUUCGUGCCAGCAGCCGCGGUAAUACGAAGGGUGCAAGCGUUAAUCGGAAUUACUGGGCGUAAAGCGCGCGUAGGUGGUUUUGUAAGUUGGAGGUGAAAUCCCCGGGCUCAACCUGGGAACUGCCUCCAAAACUGCAUGACUAGAGUACGGUAGAGGGUAGUGGAAUUUCCUGUGUAGCGGUGAAAUGCGUAGAUAUAGGAAGGAACACCAGUGGCGAAGGCGACUACCUGGACUGAUACUGACACUGAGGUGCGAAAGCGUGGGGAGCAAACAGGAUUAGAAACCCUAGUAUCC
rnacentral:rRNA from 1 species